rnacentral:rRNA from 1 species
GUCGUCAGCUCGUGCCGUGAGGUGUCGGUUAAGUCCCAUAACGAGCGCAACCCCUACCUUUAGUUGCCAUCAGGUAAUGCUGGGGACGUCUAAAGGAACUGCCUACGCAAGUAGUGAGGAAGGCGGGGAUGACGUCAAAUCAGCACGGCCCUUACGUCCAGGGCUACACACGUGCUACAAUGGCCGAUACAGAGGGCAGCUACCUGGUGACAGGAUGCAAAUCUCCAAAGUCGGUCUCAGUUCGGAUCAGAGUCUGCAACCCGACUCCGUGAAGUUGGAUUCGAUAGUAAUCGCGCAUCAGCCAUGGCGCGGUGAAUACGUUCCCGGGCCUU